CCUUCUUCAUUCGUCCACGAUGAGUCAAAUCGCUGCAUUGCAACUCGAAGCAACUUUUCGAGCAUUUGUUAACAUUUUCCGUAUUUUUGGACUGUUUCCAUUCUAUUACAAUAGCGUUGAGCGACGAUUCUAUGCUUGCAACAUAUCGUUGGCCUACAGCGUCUUCUAUUCGGCGGGAUACAUUUAUUUCUUCGCGAGAAUAAAAUGGCUUAUAUUCGUUCACCUCAGCUCCGAUCAAUCGCAGUACAACAGGUUCUUGAUUACGGCGGCGUUAAUGACGAUGUACGCUGGCGUUGUUACGACAAACUUGGUGGCCAUUUUGUAUCGACGUCGAUUUUUGAGAUUGUUCAACGGUUUGAUGCAGCUCUGGUAUCGAAUUAGGGCGGAUGCAAACUUUAAGCUGGACCGGAAAUUGCUUUCAAAUUUUUUGUUUAAAAUAUUCGUCGUCGACUUGGGAUGUUGUGUGGCGAUUUCAAUUUACGGUAUUUCAAGUGGAGUUGCCGUGAGUGUUCCGUACGAUACGAUGUACCACGUGUUCAACUUUCUGGUCAAUGCCACCUUCACGAACCUGUUCGUGGUCGUCAGCUACCUUGGGGCGCAUUACUAUCGCCUGAUAAACGUGAGAAUUUCCGCUGCGUAUCGUAAAAUUGAGGAAGUAUCCACUAAAAACGUCGUACGAAAGCGAUUGGUUUGCAGCAGACUCGUCCGUGAGCUUCACCAGCUGGCGCAAUGGCACGGCGUGCUUAACCAACUGAUUCACGAAUUCACGGAUCUUCACAGUGCCUCGCUGGCAGUUAUGAUACUGAAAAACUUUGUCAUCAUGGUUGGGGCCCUGUUUGGGGCCUACGUUUGCACCGUGGUUGAAGUUCUGUUGGGGUUGGCGCCUGUUUUCAACCUGUUUGCGUUCCACAUGCUGAUGGCGUUUUUCUUCUUCAUGCAGUUUUACUACCUGGUGACAAGUGCUGCCAAACUGACGAGAAGGGCAGAGAAGACAUCAGCCAUUUUAGGGGAUCUUACAAGCAUAGAUGAGUCAGAUGAGCGAUUAGAAAACAUGAUCGAGACGUUUUCCCUGCAGUUGAUGCAUCGAAAUCAUAAAAUUCAAAACAAGGGAAUGUUUGAUAUCGAUUACUCGUUGAUGUAUGCGGCACUGGCAACCAUGAUGAACUAUUUGAUCAUAGCGGUACAAUUCCAAAUAACCACUGCGUAGCACAGCAAUAAAGUCGUCACAAUUUGGACAUUCGCGCGAAAGCCUGUAAUUUGUGCCAUUCAAGCAUGUUCUAUCGAAUCUAAUAAAACAGAACAAAACAAUCAUUUCCCCCAAAUUUCCACCUACUAAUUCAAGAUGGAACCACGUUUAUCUGCUCUCCUCAAAGUUACUCUUACUUGCUUCAUUUACAUCCUUCAAAUCAACGGAUUUUUCCCAUAUUUUUUCCACAAAUCCGAUAGAAUCCUGUACCACUCAAAUAUUUGCAUCCUGUACAGCAUGAUUUACCUUCCCGCCUACGCCUACUUCAUCGGACGAAGCAAUCUGGCAACACUGGCAAACCUAAUAAGUUUCAAAUAUGACCACAACGCCCUGCUGCUCGGAGCUUCGGUUUUCAGCGCCUACUUUCAAGUUUUCGCCAUGAGCUUCGAAGUGUGGAUCAAGCGAGAAGAGUUUCGCCUGCUGUUCAACCAACUUCUACGCCUGUGGAGCGAUUUACGCAAGAAUGACGUAUCCACCUCAUUCGACAGAAAACUGCUGCUUAAAUUCUGCUACAAACUGUUCGCCGUUGAUGGAGUCACAAUAGUUUUGGUAGCCGUUUACUAUUCAGCCAGGGAUGAUUACAAACUCGUUGAAACUAUUAGUCGAGUUAGUCCGUUCAUGACCAGUUCUGCCAUGUCGAACUUUUUCAUUUCGAUUGGCUAUUUGGGAGCACACUAUCAUCGGCUUGUCAACGAUCGAAUUGGGCGUAUUAAUUGUAAAGUAUCGAAAAUUGAUCAAAAUAGUUACUUUUGACGACUUCAACCAGAAAAGAAACGGCAAACAAUCGAAAAACUUUCAGGAGAAUUUCGACAAAUAGUAAAUUUACACGGUAAAAUAAAUCGCCUAAUCAUGAGGUUUAUGGAGCUCCACAGCGCAACACUGGUCAUUAUGGCUGCGAAGAAUUUCAUUCUGAUUAUUACCGGACUGUUUGGGAUAUACGGAAGUACCCUGGCGCUAAUAUCGAGAAAUAUGCGACCUCAGUUGGGCAGCUGUGCGUUCUACUCGAUUUUGACAGUGUUUGCUGCGGUUGAAUUUUACUUUUGGGUUGGAAGUGCAGCCAUUUUUACAAAAAGGGCGGAGAAAACUGGCGCGAUUAUUGAGGAUUUUGCUGCUGACGAAUCUGUUGCAUUGGAUGAAUUG